UUGCUUAGCGACUGUGGGAGGGGCAGUGCCACUUGGUGACUCCCACCUCCUUGGAGAGGGGGCGGAGCUGUGCCUUGUUCGCUAGAUUUCUCCCGUCUCCUUCCCCCACCACCCCGUGGGCUCUAGCUGUAGGGUUCCGACUCACCCGUUUCCCCUUUUUAGAGAUCUGUCUGCAGUCACCAUGCAACUCGCUGGGAGAUGCUGAUUGGAUUGCAAAUUAGUCCUUCUGAGUGGAUCCAUAUUGAAGACAGGAAACACAGUAAAGCUUUUGGCAACAAGAAAGGAGACUCUUAAGCCAUCUUCUUUUCCGCCAGGAUUGAUUUAACUCUCGUCUUAUUCCAGACACACCUCCAAGAGUUGCCUCCCAAGAAAAAGGAAGUCUGGGUCUUUAUGAAAUUAUAAGCUAAACAGGUGAAGAUGUAGAACUCAGCUCCUCCUGCACCAUGCCUUCCUGGAUGCUGUGACGCUGCCAUGCUCCCUCCUUGAUGAUAAUGGACUGAACCUCUGAACCUGUAAGCCAGCCCCAAUUAAAUGUUUUCCUUUAUAAAACUUACAUUGGUCAUGGUGUCUGUUCACAGCAAUAAGACCCUAACUAAGACACUAGCUCUUCAGUUCUAUUCCACUGAUCCACCUGUCUGUCUCUAUACCAAUACCAUGCAGUUUUUAAUCACUAUUGCUCUGUAGUAUAGCUUGAGGUCAGGGAUAGUGAUUUCCCCCCAGAAUUUUUUUAUUGUUAAGAAUUGUUUUUUUUUUCUAUCACAACUUCAGCAAAGUGGCUGGAUAUAAAAUUAACUGAAACAAAUGAGUCGCUUUCCUUAUAUAAAUGAUAAACAGGCUAAGAAAGAAAAUAAGGAAACAACACCCUUCACAAUAAUCACAAAUAAUAUAAAAUAUCUCGGGGUAACUCUAACCAAACAAGUGAAAGAUCUGUAUGACAAGAACUUCAAGUGUCUGAAGAAAGAAAUCAAAGAAGACCUUAGACAAUGAAGAAAUCUCUCAUGCUCAUGGAUUGGUAAGAUUAACAUAGUAAAAAUGGUCAUCUUACCAAAAGCAAUCUACAGAUUCAAUGCAAUCCCCAUCAAAAUUCCAACACAAUUCUUCACAGACAUGGAAACAGCAAUUCUCAAUUUCAUAUAGAAAAACAAUUUAUCACAACUAAACCUGACUGCAUUCUUAGCUAAUCCUGACUUGUUGAGCUUUGAGACAGGGUUUGAUUAAGUUGCAUAGCUUGGUCUUGAAAUCCUAGGCUUGAGUAACCCAAGUCAAUCCCAGUAUUGAAUUACAGGUGCAUAGCAUCCACGCCCAGCUUCUAUUUUACAGCUAUCAAUUGGUAAUUUCCAUGUCUGAGUCCUGUCACUCUCUGUUUAGACUAGCUCUCUGAAAACUUUAAAGCCUUGGGGUCACCUUUCCUUGCAUUUUUGUUGUUAUUAAACAUUUUUAAAGGAUACUGUAGAGUCUCUAUGCAUUCUGUCGUCUCUUUAGGGAAAGGGAUACCGUUUUCUUUAAGUCAUUACUACAACAUAUCUACUACUCUUAAAUGUGCUCCUGUAGCUCCUUGGGUAUUUCUAUGGAAAACCAACAUAGUCAAGUAUCUCUCAUUUUCAUGGCUUGAUUUCUAGUGCUGCCUCCAGAGGGAAAAAGUUGCUGCUUUCUCACUCGACCUUUUGUUGGUAUUUGUUUUUAUUAUUAUUAUUAUUAUUAUUAUUAUUAUUAUUAUUAUUUGGAUUUUGUUUAUAUUAGAGAAUAGUUGAAGAUUUUAGGAAUACUUGUUUUUGCCUACAGGGGCACACCUUUUUGACUAGGAUUUUUUUUUUUAAUAUUCCUAUCACUUUCAGCAGCAGACACUGUAUCUGAAUCCUAAGUCCAAAAGGAAUAUUGCUUUCUACACACACACCUCCCUCUCCCU